AUUGAACGCUGGCGGCAUGCCUUACACAUGCAAGUCGAACGGCAGCGCGGGGCAACCUGGCGGCGAGUGGCGAACGGGUGAGUAAUAUAUCGGAACGUGCCCUGGAGUGGGGGAUAACGUAGCGAAAGUUACGCUAAUACCGCAUACGAUCUACGGAUGAAAGUGGGGGAUCGCAAGACCUCAUGCUCGUGGAGCGGCCGAUAUCUGAUUAGCUAGUUGGUGGGUAAAAGCCCACCAAGGCGACGAUCUGUAGCUGGUCUGAGAGGACGACCAGCCACACUGGAACUGAGACACGGUCCAGACUCCUACGGGAGGCAGCAGUGGGGAAUUUUGGACAAUGGGCGCAAGCCUGAUCCAGCAAUGCCGCGUGCAGGAUGAAGGCCUU
rnacentral:rRNA from 1 species